CAGUCGAGGGGUUAGGUCUUCGGACCUAGAGACCGGCGCACGGGUGCGUAACGCGUAUGCAAUCUACCUUUUACAGAGGGAUAGCCCAGAGAAAUUUGGAUUAAUACCUCAUAGUAUAGUACAACCGCAUGGUUGAACUAUUAAAGUCACAACGGUAAAAGAUGAGCAUGCGUCCCAUUAGCUAGUUGGUAAGGUAACGGCUUACCAAGGCAACGAUGGGUAGGGGUCCUGAGAGGGAGAUCCCCCACACUGGUACUGAGACACGGACCAGACUCCUACGGGAGGCAGCAGUGAGGAAUAUUGGUCAAUGGGCGCAAGCCUGAACCAGCCAUGCCGCGUGCAGGAUGAAGCAUCUAUGGUGUGUAAACUGCUUUUGUACGAGAAGAAACACUCCUACGUGUAGGAGCUUGACGGUAUCGUAAGAAUAAGGACCGGCUAACUCCGUGCCAGCAGCCGCGGUAAUACGGAGGGUCCAAGCGUUAUCCGGAAUCAUUGGGUUUAAAGGGUCCGUAGGCGGUUUUGUAAGUCAGUGGUGAAAGCCCAUCGCUCAACGGUGGAACGGCCAUUGAUACUGCAAGACUUGAAUUAUUAGGAAGUAACUAGAAUAUGUAGUGUAGCGGUGAAAUGCUUAGAGAUUACAUGGAAUACCAAUUGCGAAGGCAGGUUACUACUAAUGGAUUGACGCUGAUGGACGAAAGCGUGGGGAGCGAACAGGAUUAGAUACCCUGGUAGUCCACGCCGUANACGAUGGAUACUAGCUGUUCGGAGCAAUCUGAGUGGCUAAGCGAAAGUGAUAAGUAUCCCACCUGGGGAGUACGUUCGCAAGAAUGAAACUCA
rnacentral:rRNA from 1 species